rnacentral:rRNA from 1 species
CCUACGGGUGGCUGCAGUGGGGAAUAUUGGGCAAUGGGCGCAAGCCUGACCCAGCCAUGCCGCGUGAGUGAUGAAGGCCUUCGGGUCGUAAAGCUCUGUGGGGAGGGAAGAAACAGCUUGUGGCUAAUAUCCACGAGCCCUGACGGUACCUCCUUAGCAAGCACCGGCUAACUCCGUGCCAGCAGCCGCGGUAAUACGGAGGGUGCAAACGUUGCUCGGAAUCAUUGGGCGUAAAGCGCACGUAGGCGGCCUGUUAAGUCGGGUGUGAAAUCCCU